rnacentral:rRNA from 1 species
GACGAACGCUGGCGGCGUGCCUAAUACAUGCAAGUCGAGCGGACUUGAUGGAGUGCUUGCACUCCUGAUGGUUAGCGGCGGACGGGUGAGUAACACGUAGGCAACCUGCCCGUAAGACUGGGAUAACAUUCGGAAACGAAUGCUAAUACCGGAUACGCGAUUUCCUCGCAUGAGGGAAUCGGGAAAGAAGGAGCAAUCUUUCACUUACGGAUGGGCCUGCGGCGCAUUAGCUAGUUGGUGGGGUAAUGGCUCACCAAGGCGACGAUGCGUAGCCGACCUGAGAGGGUGAUCGGCCACACUGGGACUGAGACACGGCCCAGACUCCUACGGGAGGCAG